GGCGCGGGGCCCAGCGGCCGCCUCUGCAGUUCCCGCCUCUUGAGGCAGUCCCUCACACUGGUGCGCCCGGCUCCUCCUCCUCCUCCUGCACCCCCGACGUUCAGCGAGGAAAAAGGGGAGAGCCCUUCCAACUGUUCGCGGUGGCUGUGGUGUUAAAAUGGCAUCCAUCGAGCAGGGCUAGCUUUGGGCUGACAGGAUCGGGAAUUAACUUAAGCAUUUCUGGCCAUCUCCAUGAUGCUGUAAUCCUUGAGUCCCUCUAGCUACUUACAAAUUGUAUUCUGGAACGGAGCCUGAAAACUGAGGGAUCUUCCACAUUCAGAAACAAAGCAAUGGUUGAAAAAGUGGAACUGACAACAACUAUGAAGCAUAAAUUUCCAUAUCUUCCUUCUUUGACAUGCCUUGAGAGUUCUAAGAUACUUCAAGAGAUACUGUAUGUGGCAAACAGAAGUCUAAGCUACCUGCUAUUUGUUGCUAGUGCUGAUAACUCCAUCUUCUGACUGAAGUCCAGCGUGAGUAACCAAAACUUUCCUACUUAAAAUUUCUCUGCAUUUUCAGUUGGAUUUGUUUGUUACAUUCUGAGUUAAACUAUGCAGUUUAGCAAUUGUCAAAUGGCAAGGACCAACUCUUAAGCUCUGUUUAGGAAGAACUGUCUCUUGGAAAAAGGAGAGAAGGAAUGUUUAUUCCUAUAAAUGUAGUUUAUAGGGCUGUUCCAUAGAGCUCUUCAUAGAGUCCAGUACACAUGUUCACUGCAAUGAGAAGGAAAUACAGUGGGUUGCAGCUAGUUGAAAUUUGUUAUGUGAUCAAUUGCCAUGAGGAAACAACCCUAUUAGACUUAAGGUUUCAUCUCGAUUUGUCUUACAGCAGUUUUACUUUGUCCUGAGCUCCUCAUACGUGAAUAUUGUACUAUUGAGUCCUUACAAAGAAAAGAGGCUUAUUUAUUGCAUCAAAAACAAGUAUGAGAUAAAGGAGAAUGGAUAUUUUUCAAUAUUACAUGAUUUUUUUUUUUCUGUGUCUGACUGGUGUCUUUAUCUAAACAAGGCAGUCAGGAAAGCAAGGUAUGGAAUUAAUAGUAAGUAUCUGUAGGAAGAGGUGUUUCAGCAGUUGGAUCAUUAUUUUCAUAUUUAGGAGACCAGAGUAUAAGUCCAUUCUCUCGUGAGUGUGCCUACAGUGGGCAAGUGGUUUCACCUUUGUGUGCUUCAGCUCCUCAGUUCUGCAUUAAGGCUAAUAACAUUGCCUCAUUAUGGCUUGCUGUACGGGAAUACCAGCCUGAUGUAGUUUGAAGGAGAUGUCCACUAGGUGGGAAUCAUUGCAGCCGUGGCACUUAAUGUGUAUUUCUUAAGGCCCUGGACUGUGGCUCUAGCAAAGGCUGUGACACUUAUUCCACACUCCACUCAAUGAACUUUCACUUAACUGCUCAGAGAGGAUGCAGGGGAGGGAGGAAGUCCCAAGCUGUUGUGGUAGUUCUUUUUUAAGGGACUGGUGAAGAAGUCAGCGUGCAUUUGGAGCAGAGUGGUAAGGUGUUUGUUUUUUUGCUUGUUAUUCCCCCACGUCCUGAAGAUUAUUUGCCUGUGUGUACACAGUGGGAGAAGAUGCCCAACUGCGAUCCAAGCGUGAAUGAAACAGAGCUUGCACAGUUCAAAGCCGACACAGUCUCAAAUUCUUGCUCCUAGGGGAGGAAAAAAAAACAAAAACAACUUCCUUUAUUUUUUCCUUUACUAAUAAAUAAAUAAAUAAAUAUAAAAUCCCUCAUCUUCCUUUUAAAAAAUGAUUACAUUUAAAUCAUAUAAAUCAGUACACUUCCUCCAGGAGAGGAAGAGAGGGAUAUUCCUUUUCCCAAAGCCUGUUUUUAAUCACUGGGUGAAUUUUGAGACAAUCUCUGAACAUUCAGCACUUGUGGUCAGUUUUCCCCACCCAAAAUGCUAGUGGUUUUUGCAGACAUUCCAUAAACACAGGAAGCUUUGACUGUGUCUCUAACAGAUAGAGAGACAGAAAAGCAAAAUACCCACAAUACAAAAGGCUAAGUCUAAACUUGACGUGCCAGCUCAGAACAAUGAUUUAUGUAGUCCAGAAGUCUGUCUCUGAUAGUCAAAGACAGAUGUUUCAAGGAGAAUACUGAAUACUUAUAAAGCACAAUUCUGACAUAACCUGCCUAUGUUCUUUUUUAAUUUUUUAAUUUUUUUUUUUUUUUUAAUAACUGAAUUCUUCCUUGAACCAUGGAGCUUUAUAUUCUGAGUCUGUAUUUUAAAUCUGGUUCUUUGAGGAGGGGAAAGGGGCAACAUGGAAGGCUGCAAAAGUGUGCUGUGCAGGAUUCCCUUGGUGUUUUGGAUUCUUUAUGAUCUCGUGGCCAUUAGGUCCUAAUUUGUAUCUGCUAAGUUUUAGCCUUAAUUAAACCUGCAGAUGUUUCAUGGAUUAAACAUAUUUUAUCUGAGUUUUCUGUUCAUCCAUUUUAGGACUUCCAGCUUCCAGCACCUUACAUAAGUCUGAUUUUCCUUUUAACAUGGGAAUAGCUAAAGAGAAAUUCCUGUCUUUUUUUUUCCCCGCACCACUUAUUGUUUUUCUAUAAUCUAGUCGUUGUUAAUCUCCUUUUUAAAACAGUUUCUUUGUUUUUGCCCACUAAUACAGGUGAAGGCACAGCUUUCACUUUAGAAGAGCAUUUUAAUUUUAUAAUAUUCUUUUCCAUUAGAGUUUUAAUCUUUUUGACCUCAUCAGCUGCAUGAAUAAUGGUUUAGCAGAACUCCUCACCAUUGGCCCAUAUCUUUCUCAUGAGCAGUUAUAUUCAGUUACAAAUAGCUGAAAUUCAGAACAUUCUUUGCAAGGGACAUUACUUCACUCUGAAAAGUAAAGAAUUUUCCUGAUGUUAAUCUACAUUUCUCAUUUCUACCCAUUUAAAAUUACAAGAGAGGACAUGAAAUCUCUAACAAUUUCUGAUGGUUUUUGCGAAUAGCUGCUGAAGUAGCUGAAUCUAAGGGCUUUUAAUCAUACAUUUUGAAUUUAGGAUUCUGAAUCACAAUAAUUUCAUAUUAUCUAAAACCAGUGUUCUUUUGACAAGUUUCCUCAUUUUGAAUAAUCUUCUUUAAAUUCUGUGGUUUAAUAUGAUUUCUCCCUUAACAGUCAAACUGGAAUACAGUGUCCUCAUUGUUAGGCUGUUUGCCUGCAGAAACUCCAUUCCAGAAUUUCUUGUACUGGAGAGGGAAAAAAAGAGUAACAAUCUCGAUCAAAUUGGACCAAAAAAUACUGAUUCUGAUUCCAGCAAAGUGGAAAAAAAAAAUAGUAGCUGGACUUUCACCUUAAUACCGAUAAUCUUAAAAUAGCAAUCAAAACAGGAAGAAUUUAACUGAAACAAAUGUUUUAUUUACAUUUGUUGUAAAACCAUUUUGUAAAAAUGCAUCUGACGGCAAAGACAGGUAUACCCAUGUGCAGAACCUUAGCACAGGAUAGUGCAAUUAAAGUCCUAAACUUCCCUGUCAAAAAUUCCUAUUACAACUCCACCAAGAGAGGACUACUUAAUUUUAGUUUUGAUUUGUUUUAUCGUAACCACUGCAUGCUAAUGAAAGCAGAGUACAUUCUAUUGUACUCUACUGAUAUAACAUCUAAGCUACUGCAUCUCUGUAACCCUCACUGUAUCACACAUAGCUUAAGUUCAGAUAAAAUCAAGGUAUCAUUACCAGGGUCCUGCUGGAUGCAGUUGAAUUCAGUUUGGUCAAGCUGUUCAUUAAAAUUUUAUUCGGUUACUGUUUAAAAUCUGCCUUCAGUGUAUCCCUGCCCUUUCCUGUUCUUGCUUCCUCUUACAAGUUUAGGCUGAAAUCUGGAAAUUCCUACUCUUCUGAGUAACGAACAAGGAUGUAAUUCCUCCCUGCAAGCUCAGCUUCUUUGGAUCUGUUUUGAAAUUAGCCCAGACUCCUGGCCCUUAACAGAUUUUACCAAACUUACUUACAUGUAGCUUUAACACCAGGUGCUCAUUUUUGUUUCUAACCUUACAACAGAUAUAAUAUGUAACUAAAGAAAUAUCUUGUUUUACCAACUGAUGUUGGCUUCAGAAGCUAUGUUGGGCUCUGUUUAUUUAUUUCUGUUUGUUUAUUUUUAUCGUACUGAUCAAGAGCUUGGGGUUCCAUGGCCAAAUGUCACCUGUGUUGGUGUUACAGACAGAUAUUGGUUCCUUUUCUUGAAAAUGACUGGAAGGGAGAUUAUUUAUUUUUAAUCUUGAUGUGAUAAUUAAGCAUAGAUAAUUAACUACAAGAUCUUAACAACUUUAUGACAGUAAGGGACCAGUAGGAAUAACUACUACAACAACAGUCAACAUUUCUAUGCUGUGUUUACAAGAUUAAUAUACAACCACAAAAAUUUGUUGCAGACAGAAACUUGGCAUUAAAAGAGGAAGUCCAGGAUAUUUUUUUUCUUAAACUUGAAUUUAACCUAUUUGGUCAUUUUAAAGUAGGAAAAAGACUUUGCAGUUGUUUUAAGAUAGACAUUCCUGACAUAAUUCUGGUUUCAGAGUAUUUAUGGAAUUAUGGAGGCCACAGGACUCUGCCCCUUACCUUGCCUCCAUUCUGCCUCUCUUCAGCAAACUUUUUUUUUUGCACUUCAUCACAGCCCAUGACAGGGACAAAUAAAAGCAUAAUUGUCUUUAUUCUUCCUCAUUUUCUCUUUUGUUCGAUUAGGCAUUCGCAAAACCUGGUAACUGAUGCCCGUUGACUUUGAUAGCAGAGGGUUUCUUUGAGAACUUCUGGAAAAUUUCACUUUAGUUAUGUAUUCUGUACACAGCGAGUACUUUCUAUGCCUACACGUAAUGUAUAUUAGGCACCCUAUGACAUCCUGAAAGCCAUCCUUUUUCCCUCAGUCAUUUUAACUCUUCCAGCCGAUAGAUUUUCAGCUAUUCCUGGAAUAAGCGGCCUGUUGUGAAGAGAAUAGCAGCAGAAAUUGUUCUAGUCAUAUUUCUACUGGUCUGGGAAAUAAAUCUUUAGCUUCUGCCUGGCCAAUACCUCAUGACUUAAACAAUUUUAACAUGAUAAGGGAACUCAGAGGAAGAGAGAGUAUUUGGAAUAUAAAGAAUUAGGAUAUCAAGAAAAUACUUCUAAGUUAGUGAGAGAGAAAAAAAAAUUAGGAAAUCUUCUUAGUUCUAAAUCAAGAAAACCUUGAAGCGUAACAAAAAGGGUAUUUAGAAAAUGGAGUAGAUGUGCUUUGAAUGGAGAAUCCCCAGAAGGUUUUGUGAGCUGCAAGAUGCUGUGCUGGCAGAGAAGAAACCUCUGUGAGUGACUUUUUCAUUUUUCUUUUUAUCUAAGGUGUCUAACUUUGCUUUAAAAAUAAGCAGUGUAGUUCCAAUACUGCAUAACAUACUUAAAAAACCGUGAGGUUUUUUAAGUUCAAACAAAUGUGGUGUGAAGGAGCAAAGAAUCCACUGUUCUUAGUCAGAGUUUCAUUUCAUACACUACCUGUGAACUUAGGGUAUUAGUUCUUCUGCUAUGGUAUCUAUGAUGCAGGAUGGGAUUCUGUUGCCCUAAGAUCUGAGAAAACAGAUGCACUGAGUGAUGAGCUCUCAUAUUUGAAUCAUAAGAAAGAGCAGUGCUGUAAUCCAUGUUUUACUGAGACCUCACAUGAAUGGGAUUACUUUGCCUCAAAUUGUGUUAGUCAGUCUAGGGCAAAGCUGACCAGUGUGGCCUGGUAGCCUAAGUAGUAACUCAGUGGCUUAAGUUUGUCUUGCUGAUUAAUAGCAUAAAUAAUUUUUUCUACAGAUGAUGAACAGACGCUUAAAAUGAUUUUUGAGUUGUGCUAUUUAUUUAUUGUGCUAUUUAUGUGCUAUUUAUUCUAUUUAAAAUAGAAGACCAUUUUAAAGUUCUGAUGAGUUUGUCCGGGAAAUGUAAUUGCUUUGUUGACUGUAUGAUGUUGGGAUGUCCUUAUGCCCCAGUACACAUGUUCUGUUAGCAAGUAUCAUUUACACAGGCUAGGAAAUCCCUGUGUGUUAUGUAUUCUACAGCCAGGAAGACAGAAAGAAAAUUUCAGGUUAUACAUAUUUGUUCAUUCUUGCAUAGCAUUUGUUCAGUCUUGAAAACAUUUAGACAAAUAUAAUUAAUUUAUUAAAACCUGUAAAUCAUAGAAUCAUAGAACAGUUUGGGUUGAAACGGACCUUAAAGAUCAGCUAGUUCCAACCUUCCUGCCAUAAGCAGGGAUACCUCCCUCUAGACCAGGUUGCUCACAGCCCCAUCCAGCUGGGCCUUGAGUGCUUCCAGGGAGGGAGGGGGCAUCCACAACCUCUCAGUGCCUUCAGACAGUGAUGCUGUCAUGUUGCAUUUCUCAGAUGUGUGGUGUACCACAAGCAUCACAAUGACUUCAGCUACAAGUGCCACACUUGUGAACCGGCACUCUGGAACAAGAUGUAAAGCUUCAAAGGCAGCAGCUUUUGAGUUACGCACCAGUUAGUGAGUGUUCCUUCAUAUCUAACAUAAUACACACGUUGGUAGUUCCUCCCCUCCAUGCUCAUUCCCAUCCUUUCAAAACAGACAAACUGAGCAGAGGUGAAAGGUGGGGGACAAAUGUCAAGCUCUUUAAUUUACCCCUCUGGGCAGGUCUGUGCAAAGCAGUGCAUAUAUGGUGCCGUGGGAAUUCAACUGUUGUUAAUGCUUCCUGUCCAGAAAAUGAGCUUUGGGUUGGAGUGAUGAGAAUGGCAAGGUAAUUUUUCACUGACCAAAUGGUUUACUUUAUAUAAAUGCAUGACAGCAGAGAUGAGUUUAAUCAGUAAAACAGCAGGAAAUUUGUUCUAGUUUAUAAGCAACCCAGCUGGGCAUGCAGGGAGGUACAUUAAUCUGUAGCACACUUUGUAUCUGUCACUAUUCAUGUCUGCAUGUUUAUAACAUAGUACAUUAGUUAGGUUCUCACUAGAUGGCUGGAAGAUGCUGGCUGUGCCAGUCCUUUGGUAGCAGUUUCCUUUCUGUAGUACAUGGUUCUCAAGGAGCUGAAGGUAAACAUCUGUUAUAAGGUAAUGAAGAAAAUCAAAUACUGCAGAUUAAAAUGAACUUCACAGUCUUGAUAUCUUAGUUGGAAUUAUAUAUAUCUUCAAAUUGAAAGGCAUUAGCCCGUCAAGUUGCAAAGGCAGUUAUCUAGACUACCUAGAGCUAAGCUCCGUGAGGUACCUUAACUGAUACAACUCACUGAAGCCAAAAUGGGUGGCUCCACAUUUGGCCAUUCAUUCCCUUGUGCCAGGUCAGGCUUUGUCUGAUGACAUGGUGAGCAAAUUCAGAUCACUAAACUGGGAAACAACAAACAACAGCAAAAAGCCCUACAGAUUUAUUGUGAGUUACUGGGUUAUUUCGUGCAGAUUUAGUGAGCUAGGUCAGCUAGGUUUGACAAACAAGGGAAAGAAUAAGAUCCUGCAGCCUAAAUCAGACCCGCCUUUUGAUUACAGGGAUCUACAAGAUGCGCUCAGAAAUAUCUAUCAUACAACCUCACCCUCAACAUGCCAGAUUCUAAACACCUUCAUAAAUUCUUUUUCACUUCCAUGAUUUUCACAGGCAUAUAUACUUCUAGCACUUUUCUCAUCUUGGUUGGUAUUUUUAAAAAGUUAGACUGAUUUUGCUUUGUAGUUUCUGUUUGUUCUGUGAAUUUCAGUCUGGUUUGAAUGAUUCUUUGCAUAUUGUUGUUGUUUACGCUGGUGGCAUGCUGUGGGAAUACCCCCCAUGCUAACAGAAGGUCUGGUGUCUAUGUACAGGGCUUAUAACCUGAGAGGAAGACAAGGAGAAGAGUGUCAGGCUCUCUAAGAGAGAAAAGUAUUUUAACUGAGAUGUAAUGUUUUGUAGAUGAACAUGAUGACAGUGUAAUCUCUUUGCAUAGAAAUGGCAAUGCUGAUUUAUUGUAUCCUUAAUAUAACUGCUAACAUCCUUCACAACUGAGGUUCCCACCAAAAGGGAAAUAGGAAUAUUUUUUGAAAUCUUCAUUUUUUCAGUUGUCUCAAUGUAGAAAAUUGUCUAACAUGUAAAGAUUAUAUUUCCUUACUGUAGUCAUAAGAAGCAUGUUUCCAGUGUUGUUAAUUAGCUGACUCUUAAUUAGAGAGUGGAAGAUUUCUUUUCAUGCUGUUCAGCACAGUAUUUUUUUUUCCCUCCAAAUAGACUUAUGCCAUGAGUUUCCAUGAACUCUUUCAAUAUACCUGCUGCUUCCAGUAUAGUUUUUCCAUGGGAGGAUCAAACCUUGAGAAUAACACUCCCAGUAAUAGGUGCUGCACAUCAUAGUAGCAGCUUUAUUGUGUACCAGCAAACUUCACAGUGUAGAGACAGUGUCUGCAAGGACUGGGCCUGGAUGUUGGCAAUAAUUACAGUGAGAUUGUCUUAAAAUGAACAUUUCCUCCUUCUCCUUGGGCAUUAUACAAUCUUCAGAAGUUGCUUUCUCAUAUAGCAGAUUCUUGCCUAGUCAUCUGCUGAAUUUAUGCCUUUUCCAGGAAAUUCAUGCAUUCCAGGUUAGUCCUCCUCUGAAGAUUCUCAGGAAAAAAGGUAUAUUGGCAAGAAAAGAAAUUAAACUAAUAUAGGUACUGGGUCAAAGAAACAUGAGAACAAUGGGAUACUUACUAGCAAAUCGUUAAGGGCGGAGAAAAAAAAAACAACAAAACCCCAAUGGGAUGCUUCUUUCCCAGCUGCACUGUCUGGUUUUCCCCACUCCUUCCAGCAACAGUUUGGGGAUUUCAUGAUCAGUUUUACAUCCAAGCAAACACAUUUAACAAUUUUUCAUGAGCUAAUAGACUGUGCAUUCAUGUAGUAGUUCUGUUGGGGUUUUUUAACCAAUUUAUACUGUUGGCCUUCAAAGCAUCCUGUGGCAGCGAGUUCUGUAGUUUAAUUACAUGUAUGAAAAAGCAUUUGCUUUUGUUUUGAGGCUGAUCGUUCUGGUUGGGUGCUCACAAGAGAAGUAGUGAGUAAUUGUUUCCUUUUCAUAGUUAGUGAGUUUGAAUGUAAGCAUGUUUUUAAGCAUGCUCUGAAAUAGUUGGCUGAAUUAAAUCCUUAGAAUUUUCGUCAUCUCCUGCUGUAAUAUCUUGAAGACAAGACUGCUAAAGGAACUGGUGUGAUUCCAUACAGCUUUCAGUUACAAUGAUUUUAAUAAUGUUUCAUGUUGAUGUUCUUAAUUUGUUAGUAAAAAUUUCACUUCCCUUGAUCCUGACACUACGAUGUGAUUCAUCAACUACUAGAAAUAAUUAUGACAGAUCCUUGAUAACAAGCAGUGUAGUAAAAGAUGACAAUAUGGUUACUGUGUGUACAGUUGUGAUGGUGUUUCCCAAGUAAGUUCUGACCAGCCCCAUAUGCUUUCAUAGUACACAGAUUCAGAAGCAGAGGUACAGAGAGGGUAAGCGACAUGGUAAGGCACCAGCUGGAAAUCAGUGACACACUCUGACUUAAAAUAGGAGUCCUUUCUUCCUUCUGAUUGUUACAUUACAUGAACUUUUAUAAAGCUUCCCUUUUAAUUUGGAAAAUGAUAUAAGAUUUCUGGAAUCCAAUCUAUCAAAACAGUUACAUUUAUCCCUAGCUUUUGUCUAAUUUUAAACACAAGAGUCAAAGGUAUGGAGGAAGUGGUGUUUUCAUUUAUGAAUAAAUUACUUAUUAAAAAAAAAAAAGAUAGAUUUAUCCACCCAAGCAUUUUGUCAGAAUCCUUGAAAGCCUAAGGAUUUCAUGCUUUGAAAACCAGUUAUUAAACAAAAUAAACUGCACAGAGGAAGGAGAGAAACGUAAGGUUUUCCAAAGUUCAAAAAGAAUAAAAAGAAGUACAAAGAUCUUGUUCUCAGUACCAAACUCCUGCACCAGUAUUGAGAAUUAAUUCACAUCAGUCUGGGGGCAGAAGGAUCCGAUUGUUUUUGUUUUAGAAUUCAUUUUUCAUUAAAAUGAAAUAUGCCAUACAUAACAUUUCUGACCAGAUUAUAUUUUAUUAUUUCUAUUUUUAACAUAUGUUGCAGGAGUACGUUAUAUUUAUUGUCUUUAGAGCAUGCAGAAAUCAGAAGUAUUUUUACUAUACACUCAUGCAGAUGUUCUAUUCUGCAGAACAGGAGAGGUCCUGCAGAUAUCCUGUUUAAUUAGAAAAACAAAGGCCAAGCUUACUCUGCAGAAAAGACCUCCCAUAUCAGAGAUCCCAAGUUUGGUUCCAAGCAAGCUGCUGAUUCUACAUUGGGCAGCAUAGUAUUGUGCGGAGAUACUAAGCACAGUUUGUGUCCUGGCAGUGCUCUAAGUGCUAGUUAAUUAGCCAUAUACCUUCGUGUUUUCAUGCAGCUAAACUUCUUUCAGUUCUGCCACUAAGUUUUAAUGCCUGCUUGAGGAUUUUCACAGGGUGCUCAUAAUGUGACAUAUACAUGCCCAAAGGGUCUGCAGUGAACCUGGUAAUAAGUGAUACUGUGGGAAGAGAAAAAAUAAAUAAUAAUUCUGGUAAAUGUACCAGAUACCAUUGCCUUAAGUACAGGAAAUGCAUUUAUACCCUGGAGUAUACAGACAGCCAUGUCUUUAUUCAGAGCAAAGUAGUAUGGAAAACAGAUAGGGUGAAAAAGAAGGUUUUGUGUGUGAUGUGUAUGAUCUGCUUCUUUGAUUUGUGGGCUUGUGAAGAACAACACAAUGAAAUUCAUGCUUUGCUUUCACAAGAAAAAUAACAUGCGAAACAAUUACACUUGGUGCAACAGCCCUGACAAAAGUAUGGCUGAUUGCUUGUCUAAAGCAAAUAAAUUUUAGCUGCCUAGCAGAUGCCCCAAUUUUGGACACAGGAUUUAUUUCAGCAAACCAACACAUGUUAAAAGAAAAUGCACAUGUUAUGCACUGAAAGUCAAAUAUAGCAGUAGAAUUCAAGAAACACAUCUUUUCCUGGUCCUUACUUGGUGCCAUUGUGCAGUUGUUACAGAUCUGUUGCAUGCUGCCAGAUGUUUCAGUGAUGAAGGAGAUUGCAAACAGUGUCCAAGUGUUGUCUUUAAAACCAUCCAGGCUGCAAGGGGCAGUAGCAAAAAACUAAAAGUUGCCUAUGCAGAAGUUGAAUUGGCAGCUUGUAAGGAGCCCAAAAACUGCUUCUGUUUUACACAUCCUAGCUUUGUAGCAGUUGUCAGUUUGCAGCAGAGUGUCUGGAAUGAAUAGGUGUUGGUGUAGAGAACCUUAUUCUGUCAGUGACCAAAUGCAGCAGAAUGUGCUAUCCUACUCAUCUCUGUAGCUCAGAUCAAUCGGUCCAGAAUAUCUAAAUCUGCCUAACGCUUGGCAGUUGUGUGUUUCUGAAGCCAUUGCUGUAGAGCUGCAUGCUAGAGAAGAAAAUCUAUGAGCAGCCUUCAACUUCAUAUGGAUUUGUGUUCAAUAUGCUGCUGGUUGUGCAGCCUCUGUUAGAAACUGUUGUUCCUUCUUAUAAACAGCUAAAGUGAAACUGUAAUCAACAAAGUAAAAUUUUUGCAAAAAAGCCUCUGGGGAAUUCUGUCUCUGGUUAAGCCUGCUGUUGGCUGCAGAGGAAUAGUGUGCGGAUGAUUCCUAACUUGUUAACUUCAGCCGCGAACUGUCAAGUAUCACUCUGGCAGAGAGCUGUAAUAGUACAAGCCCAAUUGUUUGCUAAGCCUAUUGUCCCCCUAGACCUAUGAAUGUUAAAAUAGCUUCUAAUGAAACUUUAGCUUCUGGCUGGCACUUUGCCUGCUAUCCAGCUGUAACAGUUAUGCCAUCUGCGUGCCAGUUUUCAAUUCUACUUGAUUAACAAUUCAUACAGACCACGGGAUGGCUGAAAUGGAUGUUAAGCAUGUUGACAUGCAGAGGAUUACUUCUUCAAACAUUUUUAUUGUCGGCACCUGUAAGCUGCUGUGUUGAUAAGCACUGUUACAACACCAGUGAUUAGCUGAGAGAAGUAUGGCAAUCAAAGAACAUCAUGAGGUCUUAGACAUAUUUCAAAACAGUGCUCCCUAAAAUUGAUCUGUAAAUUUGAAAUAUAAGGGCCAUAUUACCUUCAUGAUGAAAAGAAGCUAUAAGCUCCAAACAACCUGCAGUGAUCUUAAUGCUUGAAACUGUUGUCUGAAUGCUGAAAUAAGCGUGUUGUGAUAUAGUGAAUUAACUGUUACAGUACUUCUACAAAGGGCCUGCAGAUGCUGAUCUCUGCUGUUACCCAAGUGCUGUUGUACAGCAUCUCUAUGGCAGUCUUGUAUCCAGCAUUCUUAGAUAGCUUUCCCAAGCAAAUGGAAAGCUAUUCACUUAGGCAUCAUGGUAUGUAAGGUGAUUUUAACUAAGUCAUAGAAAGAUUUUUUUUCUAAAGAAAUAGAUUAUUCUUGGUGGAAUUCAACAACUUAUUUCACAUCUUCCUUUUGGAUCUGGUAAUUUUAGUCUUGCACUGUGACAUAAAAGUAUGUCCUCUGAGUUUUGGGGAAACGUAUUCAACAUCAAAUCAGAAGUAAUUCCAGGACAGUGACUUUAGUCUAUUUUUUUCAUUUCGUGGUGGGAGGCAAACCUGUAAAUGUAAAUUAUACAGACCCGUGAGUUCUGCCCAAACAGCUUUCCACAGAAAAAACAGCAUGAAGACUAAUGAGGACAUCGAGUUCUUCAACCAGAAGAGCAUUAACUGCCAGGAAUGAGUGAAAGGUUUCAGAGAUAAAAAGGAUAAGGAACUAAUGAGAGGACAGAUUAAUAUGUAUUUGUUAUUCCAGUGGGCUGGCUUUUCUAUGUUUGUUAUUACUGAAUAUCAUCUGUCAUGUUUAAAUAAUAACACGUCAAGUUGCCAGCUUAAAGAUCUCAGUGAUAUGAAAUGCAUAUUUGCUAUUAGGGAGGAUGGGAAAGAACAAGCUGGGAUUGUGGGAUACACGAAGAUAUGUGUUGGAAGGACAGAGGUAGCACCUGAGCUACACACAAUUACCUGAACCGAGACUAAACAAUUUCACAGUUCUUUUGCUGUGUCAGCAGGUUUCAGGCUGUUCAAAUACAAGGCCUAAAGUGAAGGGGGUAAAACAUUAUUUCUACUGCAAUAUGAUGAAUGAUUGUUUAUAAAAUAAUGCUGAAUGCAUCUUUCUUCACUGUCUUUCCUCCCUUAAAAAAAAAAAAAAAGAUAAAGGAAAAAAGAAACCUCUACAUUACAGCAGAGAUUUUUAAAUUAAGUCUUUAACUUCAUGAAGGAACAGAAUGACAGUAAGGACGAGAAAUUAGGUAUAGAGCCUCAGUACCAGUUGGUCCCUACUAGGUUUGGCUGAACGCUGUUGUUAAAAUGAGCUGAUUGCCAUCUGGAAAGUAGGCAGGAGACCAUAUCACAAAAAUCACUACCUUUACUUUCACUGGCUCUGCCAAGUGCCAACAGGGAGCUCAAGGCUCAAGUAAGCAUUUUGCUUAUAUUUGCUCCAAAAACAUCCUGGAAUUGGUAAUAUUAGACUGCGAAUGAGUUUGAUCUUUUUUAUUUUUCUUUUUUUUUCUCCUAUGUGUGUAGUCUUGUAGGGUAAUGAAAAGCUUUGGGCAGACCUGGUAGGCUAGCUGUUAACAAAAAAAGAAUAACAACAUUAUUUAAAGGUGGAGUCAUUUGGUUCUCAGGAUCUUAACAGCAGAAAGGUGAAUAGUCAGUUCAAAUCAGGAAGUUCACUGUCUUUCAGAAGUAAUCUUUUUACCUUUUAGGCUCAUUUAAUGCAUUUUGGCAAUUUAAUGGCUUAUUUUCUUGAAUGAUACGUCCAAUCCAAUUGAGAUUGAGUAAAUGUUGAUGAUCAAGUGCUGUCAUAUAUAAUUUGCUUUUCCCAGAGCCAGAUUCACAUAACCUAUGCCAGUGUUUCUGCUUGGCUCAGAAUCUCUGAAGACUCCUUCCUACUUUCCUAGGUUAUCAGUCAUGAGCAGGAAGCUUGAAUUUAGGCUGCAUGAAUGUGGAUGCAUUUUCCUUCAUGCUGUCCACAUUCAGACUGAUUGUUGUUGUAUGACAGUUUAAGAACCUCCACAAAAGAAAAAACAAAAAAACCCAUGGCUGAAGAUGAACAUUCACAUGUGCAGCCUAGAAGCUUCUACUGAUUCACUUAGAAGAGCUGCUUUUUCUUUUCUAGCUUUCACCUGCUGUGAACUUAGAUAUAUGAUUUCAGGAAAUUCUUAAAAGUCUUCUAGUGCUCUCAGUUGUGGCCAAGACAAGGGAGGUAGCUGUCUGCCCUGGUAUGUCUAUAAUAUCUCCUUUUGUACUAUUGGUAUCAAAGGGUGGACGUCAGAAAAACCAUUGGGGGCUUGGCUAUUAUUUCCAUUCCUGCUCUUCUCCACUAUUUGCUGUCAUCAUAUGUUGCGGUGCAGGUCAGGAACACAAAUCUUUUAAGGAUCUGUAGGAUAACUGUUCUGCUAGAAGAGAAUGUCCAACAAAACUGCAAAGCUAUACUCUGGUACAGCUUAUAAUCUCAUAGAUGUGGCAGGAGAUGCUACAAUGAUAGUGUAUAUAUCUAUAUAUAGCUCAGAGCACUGGCAAAUGGGCUGCUUAACAAGGAUGGAGUUACGUCUUUUGAAGGCACUGUCCAGGACAGUGGAUAUUUCGAGAACUUUUUUCUCACCUUGCAUUCAGCAGAACUGAGUCUGAUAUCAUUUGAUAUAGUGCAGUUCAGAAGGAAAUCCACUGUAUUUAGUGCCAUUUCUGUGUCAACAUAAAGUUAUGCCUGGGCCCUUUCACCAGGAGCAGAUUACUUCCUUUUGGAUCUAUUGAUCCACACUUCUUUUCAGUUGAGCAUUUUGGCAUAACCUGAUAGAAGUCUUUCCCCCCAUAACAUUACUUGCCUUUUACUGUCACCUUACUCUUUAGCAUUCUUUUCUCUUUCACACUAUCAUGCUUUAAAGUGAAAUGGACUGGAUGUUUUUUUGCAAGACUAUUUUUUUAAGUACCAGAUGAAUGUAGUUGAAUUCAAUUAAGUGACUCCCACAGAGACAUAACGGAGUGGAGCACAAGCACAGCAAUGUGUAAGUACAAGCAGUUUUAAACAAACUACUUUUCUUUAUCUAGCCUAAAACUAUCUGAACCUCUAAAAAGAAGGAUGUGGGAAAACAUCUUACCAAAAGUAGUUGUUUUUUGGUUCUUUUGUUUGCUUGCUUUGUUGUUGUGUUUGUUUUUGUCUCUGUUACUUGAUGCUUGUUUAUUACUAACAUAGAAUUAAAGUAGUUUUGGUAGCUGUCAGUUAAAGGAAACCUCCCAAUUUUAAAAUGAAAAACAGUGCAAAAUACUGGGAAACUCGCAUUUGCUCAGCUGAAAAGGAAUUAGAGUGAAAGGAGCUGUGCAGAAAAAGACGUCAGAGAUAUUUUAGGACCCUUAGGUCAUGAGUUAGGUCAUGAGCUCCUUAGCAUUUGCUGUGGCAUCUGAAUAGACCCUUGGAUUACAGAUCAGGGCAGGUGCAGAGAACUGUACUAUAAAUACUUUUACCCUUAAGGAGUUCACAGAUUUCAUAGAGUUGCCUUGCUGAAUGACCAGCUGAACAGAAACAUGCUAGUUCUGAAGGGGAAGAGUAUCUAAACCAUUUCGGAAAAUAAAUCUCUAAAUUCUUGUAACAGGUCAUCUCCCAGUUCUUUAAUUUCCAAAGCCAAAGCGCUCUUCACAGUUACCUUUGAAAUACUAUGGGUAGCUUUUAGAAGGUUACAGCAUGCAUUUUUCAAGUGUGAGUGGCAUGUUCAGGGGUAUUUCUGUACUCAUUUGCUGUCCACUGGGCGUUGCAGAGAACUGACCAGCAAGAUUCCUCCCUUCUAUUUUAAGCCUUUCUGUUGCCUUAUGGCUAAGUAUAUAUGACCAGUUUCUUCAAGGGAAGCUUUGCCAUUUCUACACUUGUAGAAAUAAUGUCCCUUGGCUCCCUUGGUGCAAAGUUCUUUGAGAUCCUUGCAGGAUUAAUAUACACUACUAGUGGUAGCAAAACCUACUUACUGAUUCAGUACCUAUUUUUUAAUUUAUUUUCCAGGUAAAUACAGAUGUUUCCUAUUUCUCAUUUUUUACUGAUAAGCCAUAGUCCUCUUUCUCCCUUUGUCCAAAAUAAACCUUCAAUUUUUAGACAGGCUGCAAAGGGCUCGGAAACCUUUUCAAAAUGUUUGUAUUUUAUUUACAUUUGUCUCCCUCUGGGGGAACACUACUUCUCAAACGACACGUGUAGUCUUAUGUGUUCAUUCUGACUGACCUAAUUCGAAUCCUUCAUCAUCUUUUAAGAGGCAUGUUUGCACAGAACUGGAAGAACCAGUUGCAGCACAAAGUUAGGUGUCACUUCCUGCAUAUUCCAACAAAAAAAAAAAAAAAAAAGAGGCAACUCCAACUUUGUUAGAAAGAGUCUGUUUGAAGGAUUUUUCCAAGCGAGUCCACCUGCCCUUUCGUAUGCCAUCAGCAUCUCUGUCGAGAAAUGCCUUCAGCUGGUCCAACUAUGAACAGAAAAGCAGAUUCUUCUCAAGACAAAUUCUGCCUGUAUCAAGAGAUCUAUGGCAUGGCAGGAAAUUCAUGAUACAAGCAGAUUCUAGCCUUAUCCUAGGAAACCAAAUCAUACUGUUGGGAAGCCUGAAGUGCCACAGUGCUUACUUACAGGAGAAGUAGUGAAAUUGAAUAUAUAUAUAGUGUAUAUAUAUGGAUGUAUGCAUAUAUGGCUUGUGAAUAUGUCUUGCCAGCUCUUUGCGUUGGCUGGCUUGGUGUUAUGAAGAGCCUGAUUUAAAUAACAGAACUCAAAACCAGUGUAGGAGGUGCAGAACUGAGUAAAACUGCUGCUGGGGUGUUUGUGCACCAUUUGUCAACGAGAGAGAUGAGGCAGCUCCUGCAGUGCUGGGGUGGCCAUGGGGGAAGUAAUGUUUUGUCAGAGACACGAGGUUUGUGCUGACUUCUUUUUCAGUAUACAAAAUUAAUUUGUAUACCGUCUUUCUUCACGUCCCAAUUAAAAAGGGAGUGACUAUACAAGCCUCUUGAUUUCCAAACCUAUCUUUUUUUGCCAGCUGGAAAUUUCCAAGCAAUUCAAAUUGUUAAUUAAAGGUAAAGCAGGCACGCUUAUGUUUCUAUACUUUUUGUAUUCUCUACCACAGAAAAACAACAACAAAAACAUCAGCCAAUUUAGCCCUGUGGAUGCAGAGUUGUCUUUGACUUAAACAAAGCUUAUUUUUGGCAUUUUCAUGCAUGUGGGGCCUCAGGAUUUUGUUUUGCUGUGGCAGUGGCAUCUUCCAGGCGCCUCUUUAAGAAACGCUCAGUUCCUUUCCUCUCCCCCAUAUCAUACUUUCCCAUGUAUCCCAGAGGUUCCCAUGUCAUCGUUAACAUUCUUGUAGAAAAAUGGCUCUGCACAGGAAUUCUUUAAGAGCCUAUCAGCACCACUCCCAAAUUAGCCAGACAGGACACUGUUUGUUUAAUUUCACAAUAUGUGCUUACCCAAAGGCAAAGAGCUGCCUCACUGGAUUCCCAGCCACAAUACACUUCUACAGGAAUUUUUUGUAGCAGUGGAGUAAGUUCUCCUAAACUACGUACAAAACAUUGAUGUAUUUAACAAUACAGUCAAGUUGUUGAACAAUAUGUAACUAAAUGCCUCUUAAAUAUUCACAGCACUUAAAAAGGCCCCUGUCUGCUAACUGGCCAUACAGCAAAAGCAAGAUAAGCGACAAGAGCAAAACUAUGCUUAAGAAUUUGCUGCAAAUAAGUCUGCAGGCUUUGUCAGUACUUUGUCUGGCAUUUUUACUCAGCCUGUGCACUGCUGUUAGUAUUUAGGCAGGUUUAACCAGUAUUUGUUUUUUAAACUGAUAAGGAUGAAUAAGGACUGUGCAGAAAAGUGAGAAUUUCACCCUCUAGAAAGAUCUUACUUGCUAUUUUUCUGUCAUUACUGUUACUUUACUGUGAGGAGUCUUUUUUAAGGGAAUACAGGAAGAAACCAUCUUAGGGAUGGGAAUAGGAAAGCUUCUCCUUUGGCACUGGCAACACACGUGUCCUGCAGACUGGCUGUGAGCUUGUGUGAAUGCUGUGUGGGUCAGCGCUGCAGGCACACACUGGCCGUUCUCAGGGGCAGAGGAAGAUGACCUCCGGGCAGAGCCCAGGGGACUUUGCUAUCCGGUCGCACGGAGCCGGAGCUCUGUGCCGUAACUCGCUGGGCUGCGCAGGAGUUGCCCCACGGCCUGCUUUGCCGACCGCUGCCCCUCUUUGCCCUGCAAGCACAGCAAGCCACAAGCCCUCCCGCCGCGGUGACAUCGGCUCAGCAGAGCCAGUGACGGCACCGGGGAGGAAUUUUCUGGUGCAAGUUGUGAGCUCAGACAAAGAGGCUGCUUAAUUUUCUCUUUGUGCAACCAAAUCCUCGGGGCUCGUGCACGUCCGUGUGCUUCCUGCGCUGUAUAAAGGAGCGUGCGUGGUGGUGGCGGAGCGUGUUGCAUCUUGCUCAGUGUGCUAAGGAGACAGACAUGUGCCACAAGCGAAAAUCGGUUUCUACUUAAUUACAUGGUUUGUUAAUUGUUCUCCAGAUUGCUCGUCUCUCUUCGCUGCCUCGGUUUCUCGCUGGCGUUGCAGGCGGAAGGUGCGAGGCAGGCAACAGCCGGUCCGUGUGCCGCCUUUCCCCGGGCUCCGCACCUCGCGGCUCCGAGCGCCCCGGGGGGCAGCUGAGCCCCCGCUCCCCUCCCUUUAACCCGACUGCGGUCCAGUAGAGGAGCGUGG
ensembl:lncRNA